AUGGAGUGCUUCUGUCUGCAUACCAUGAGCCCUCACCUCCUCCUGAUUUCAAACGCUCGGGGGAGGUUAGGAUCGCUUUGUUUGCCCUGCCAAAGAGUACAUGCUGUAACAAGUGAAUGUGGGCAUAAGUGGUGUGCCACAAACUUCACUCCGUGCCACUUAAGGAAGGACGGGGAGAACUGGAUAUCCGCCAGCCAGUAUAAAGAAUUCUCCAUAUUCCCUAGCCAGAGGUUUUAUCCAGCUGAGUUCAGUGAUAGACAUUCACCCAUCGGCAAACACAGCUGCUUCUGAAAUUGUGCUUGACUGGAAUAUAUCCCUGAGAGCAAUCUUUACAUUACAGAUUUGCAUUCAGACCCAUCAUGGUUAUCACAGCUGUGCAGAGAACUCGGCUUACCCAGGAGCACAGGCUGGCAGGGCCAGGUUUCUGAAGAUGGAGAAAGCACAGAGUGAGCGCUGGUGAUGGGCAGGGCAGGACAACUCGUUUAAUCCCCUGCACCAGGAUACCUGCCAGCCACUCGGUACCUCUGUUGGAGGGCUUUUACACACCAGUGUCCUGCCACUUCCCUCCAUAAAUGUAAAUCACACACUGUUGACCAGUGGAGUUCCUAUUAGACUCUUCCAUAAGGACAAAGCUGUGAUAAUGACAAUAUUAGAGGAGUCAGAAAGGGCAGAACCAGAAAGAAGGAGUUCAAGCAGCUUUGAAUUGGACCCUUUCAAAAUAUCUUACUCUUUGGAAAGAGCAGGGAUUUUGUCUGCAACCCUUUUGUAUGCAAACAUGGUGAGGGUGUGUGUGUACCCCUUCUGAUUGCAAGUUCCUCUGAAGGGACAUGAAUGUAACUGCAGGUUGGGUCACACCAAAUACCCUGGAUACGUGAUCCGAGCACCUGGGCCAUUAAGACAGGGCAGCCAAAAAAGAGAGAGAGGAUCUCGUUGCCUGCUGCCCACAUUAGUUGUGCCUGAAAGUGGAGGUCAUGGAUCCUGGGUAGCCCCUUGUUGUGGCUGUGAAAGAAGCUUCAAAGAGCAAACAUCCCUGCACCCCCACCCAGGGGCAGGGACCAACGCAGGCUGUGAGAGUUGCUUGAACGUCUGUAGCUUCAGGCAUUUUGCUGCCUGACACAUCUCAUCAUCUAUUGACCUAAAUUCCAUUUUUGCAGUUCCUGCAGGGCAUUCACAGGAGGCUGACUCCACUUUGAAGAUAGAAAUGUUAUAAAUGUCAAACACCCCCGUGAUUAUUUACAUGCAAAUUUAUAUUGUAUCAGUCAUUUACAUUAUAGCAAUCAAAAUGCUAUAGGUCAGCAAAAGGUCAAAAGUCAACAUUUUCUGCCCGAAAAUAACAUGCCACUGAAAACUCUCUGACCAACUCUUAAGUUGAGCUCAGGUAGAAGAGCUGAUAGCUGCCACCCAUCCUUUCCUCAGAUGUUCGACAUGAGGCUUUCAAAACCACAAUCAAGUUGUUACACACUGCCUUCCUGUGGCUCCUGAAAAUACUUUCACUCCAAGUCUCACCACAGAAAUGCAUCACUGUAGAGCGAUUGCUCCUGUGAUCCAUUCACAAAGUGAUCCUCUUGCUCAGCUCAUGGCAACCUCAACAGCCCCAUCCCACUAAAUUCUUUAGAUCCUACAUCUUUGUUUAGAUCUACAGCCUGGCCCUACUCACAUUAAAGUCAGUGAAAAAGAAUGCAUUAAUUUUAUUGGCACAGGAUCAGUUUCUCAGGCAAGGCAUUUUAUCGGUUCUUUUGUUUGUUUUUGUUUUAGAAACUAGUAAAUGGACUAAAUAAACAUAUUUACUUAAAGUUAUUCUCUCUUCUU
rnacentral:lncRNA from 1 species